rnacentral:lncRNA from 1 species
CUGUGCCCCUGGUCUUUGAAGCUGGUGGAGUGGGAGAAUCUGAAGAUUUGGAAGCUCAACUGAUUCAGAGCAGCAAGCCGCGGUAAAAGGGUGUUGACUUUCCCAGGGUGACUCUAACUAGACGCUUUUCCUGUUUUCGUGCUCCCAGGGAGGAAAAAAACCUAUCUCCACGUUGUGGCAGUCCCUAGGCAGGGUAAUGAUCUGAUCCCACCUUUUCAUGCAGGAAGGGAC